CUCUCAUGAAUGGGAUUAGUAUCCUUAUGAAACAGUCUGUCUUAUUCCUUCUGCGAUGUGAGGACACAGCAAGAGGAGAGCCAUCAGUAAAUUAGGAAGUGAGCUGUCACCAGAUACCAAAUCUGCUAGUGCCUCAGUCUUGAACUUUCCAACCUUCAGAACUAUCCACGUCUACCUCACUAUGGAAGGAUUCAAGUUGUCCUCAACCUUAGAUUCAUCUUUGGUCAUUUGACGACCAUGAAACAUUUCCUGAAGAGAGAAUGUCUGGGGAGAUACCAAUAAUCCAGGGGUGGUCCUGAUGAUCAACAGCACAGUUUCUCAACCUCGGAAACUCAAAGCAAGGUGUGUCUUGGAUUGCUCAGCAUCUGCUAAAAUGUCCUUCUACGGUGCCACAUCUGUACUACAGAGGCUGGAAAAUGGUCAUCUACAUCCACAUUUCCCCCUUGACAUGAACUUUCCAUGUCUUGUCCAAGAUCUGAAUUAGGAACUGAGUUCAAUGGGAAGAGAGGAGAGACAUCUAGCACAUCUUGCGGGUGUAGAGUGACUGCACGGCAACGUAGCUGGAGUGGCAUCUGAUCAUCAGGCCACGGUUAAGGUGGUGGAACCUGGAAUCAGUAACUUCCUGACUGUAGCAGAAAUAAUAGUUCCCUGCCUGAGCCUCUUCCGGGAUAAGAUGUGCGAGUUGAACCUGGAACCUGCUGCCCCAACUCUACCAACAAUGUUUUAACACUAGAUUAUGUGAACUAAGUCCAUUUGUACUUAAAUAGCUAGAAUGUUUUCUGUUACCCAGAACUCUGAACCCUGUGUGGAAAGG
rnacentral:lncRNA from 1 species